rnacentral:lncRNA from 1 species
UUUUAAUCAUACUACCAUGGCAGAACAAAACAAUAAUACAUCAGAACUCACCAUGGAAGAUGCCUACAAAUACCUCAAAGUCACCAAAAAUCCAGAUGGCUCUCUUACUAGAAACCCACAAGUUCCUAAUGUCCCUUCAAAUCCAGAAGUUGAUCCAAAUUCACCAAAUAAACUAGUUUCAUUAUCAAAGGACAUACCUCUUAACCCUACCACAAACACUUUUAUACGUCUCUAUCGUCCCGUUUCUCCGCCACCGUCUAACGUUAAAUUACCUCUCAUUAUAUACUUUCAUGGUGGUGGCUUUAUGUUGUUGAGUGUAAGUUCGAUUAUUUUUCAUGAAUCUUGUAAUGUUAUGUCGUCUCAGUUUC